AAAAAAUUUCACCACCAAGUUUUAUACUCGAUAAUAUAUCUCCUUGAGAAAGUUUACAUAUAUAUAAUGUACCAUCUGUACAAGCAAUGCACAUGUAAUCAUCUUCGCACCAAGGAGUGGCAUAAAUUGAUAAAAAAUUAUCAACUUUUCAAGUAUCGUCACCUUUAUAUCAGCCUGAAUAUCAAAACAGAUUAAUGUACCUCCUACAGAACAAAACAAUACAAAUCCAUUAUGCAGUGUAAUAGGUGAUACAAAUAUAGGAUUCAUUAGUUUAUUUCUCCAAAAAAUAUCUCCUUUUGAUUGAUUUAUUGCUACGCAAGAACCGUCUAAAGUUCCAAAUAAUACUGUUUCUGUUGCCGAAUGUAAGCAUCCACUGGCUGAAAUACUUCCAUUGCUGGCUUUCACGCUCCAAAUUUUGGUUCCAUUCUAUAUUUAAUAUUUAUGGUUUUAAUUUGAUUUAGCUAAUGAUAAAUAUAUACGUUAUCACAUACUUCGGUAGAAAGGCAGUACACAUUAUUAUCAUAAGAUCCAAUGUAUAAUUUAUUUUGUGAUUCAGAUAAUAGAGCUGUACAUUUUAUUAUAUCUUUUGUUUGAUAUUUCCAAAUAAUAUCGCCUGUCUUUAAAUAAAAACAAUAAAUAUGACCAUCAUAACAUCCUAAAAAUUGCAUCGAUUGUAAGAAUGAAGAUUCAUCAUAAUGUAUAUGAUUAAAAAAAUAAAAUAAAAUAAAAUAAAAGAAUACUUACCAACGAUACCUUUAAAGUUAUCUAAAACUACAACUGAAGAUUCAAUUCUAUUUGGAAGUUGAAUUUUAUAUACGACACUAUUAUCUUCUGCCUUAAGUUCAACAGUGCAAAUCAUGCCUGAAUGCGAACCAACAGUAACAAAUGUUCUUUUGCUAAACAAUGUAAAAAGAAAAUAAAUUGUAUUAUUUCUUUUUAUAUGAAUAAAAAGAUAUAAUCGUACUCACUUAUAUUGAAAUACAGUUGGUGAUGCAUCUACACAUUUAAGUAAAUCGAAUGUAUUUUUAACACGAAUAUUAAACAUUGCUUUUUUAUCAAA